rnacentral:tRNA from 1 species
GGGCCGGUAGCUCAGUGGUAGAGCAUCGGACUUUUAAUCCGCUGGUCGUGGGUUCGAUCCCCACCCGGCUCA